UACGUAGGUGGCAAGCGUUGUCCGGAUUUAUUGGGUUUAAAGGGUGCGUAGGUGGUCUAUUAAGUCAGUGCUGAAAUAUCCCGGCUUAACCGGGAGGGUGGCAUUGAUACUGAUGGACUUGAGUGGAGUUGAGGUAGGCGGAAUUGACGGUGUAGCGGUGAAAUGCUUAGAUAUCGUCAAGAACACCAAUAGCGAAGGCAGCUUACUAAGCUCUAACUGACACUGAUGCACGAAAAGUGUGGGGAUCAAACAGG
rnacentral:rRNA from 1 species